rnacentral:rRNA from 1 species
CUACGGGGGGCUCCAGUGGGGAAUAUUGCACAAUGGGGGAAACCCUGAUGCAGCAACGCCGCGUGAGUGAAGAAGUAUUUCGGUAUGUAAAGCUCUAUCAGCAGGGAAGAAAAUGACGGUACCUGACUAAGAAGCCCCGGCUAACUACGUGCCAGCAGCCGCGGUAAUACGUAGGGGGCAAGCGUUAUCCGGAUUUACUGGGUGUAAAGGGAGCGUAGGCGGCGAUGCAAGUCAGAAGUGAAAGCCCGGGGCUUAACCCCGGGACUGCUUUUGAAACUGUGUUGCUAGAUUGCAGGAGAGGUGAGUGGAAUUCCUAGUGUAGCGGUGAAAUGCGUAGAUAUUAGGAGGAACACCAGUGGCGAAGGCGGCUCACUGGACUGUAAAUGACGCUGAGGCUCGAAAGCGUGGGGAGCAAACAGGAUUAGAUACCCUCGUAGUC